CAUGGGAAUAUAUAACGUGCCCUGUAGCGUCCCCAUGACGAGCAACCCCGGCGGCUGGGCUUCCCCGUCGUGCUCAUGCCCCUGCCCCUCUGCUCGACCAUGCCCAAGCCGCCACCAUCUCCACCACUCGACGCCCCUCCUCCUGCUGCUCGCCGCGCUGGGCGCCUUCGCUAGCGCGCGCCCCCUCUAUGCUCCCUUCCAUGGCCGGCAACGAUGCAUACAAGUCCUUCCUCGUGACGGCCGUCAAGCACUACACCCGCGGCGCUCUCCUCCUCGGUAUGGUACCUCCCUCUGUGCUUGCUUUGAGCUCUGCUUUGUAUUGCGCUGUCCCAGUGAGGAGUUCGAUGGCCGGACUGGGCAUUUGGGGUAGCGCGGCAAUGGCAUUGUGCGUGGGUGCAAUGGGCACCGACACCGAGCGCUGUCGGGAGGAAGAAGGGCGCAGGGCCAUUGGAUCCGUAAUGGACGCCUGUGAUUAGAUCGUGACCAAUUCGUUCUGAACCGUUGAUCCGGGGAUGUGUGGUGGAGAAUCAGUCCGGCGUACCCCUUCGCGCGUGAAGAUACGGGCCGUGGAUCUGUGAUCCAAUGGCUUGCGCGGUUAAUGCUGAGGAGGGUGCCUUCUGGUCGUAGAUCUGUGAUCUUACGGUGGCCAACGCGUACUGGUUCGGAUGAAGAUUGAUUUAAUCCGUGCCGUCCAUAUCUAAUCCUACGGCCGAAAACCCUAGAUACCCCUUCGCGGUGCUAUUUUGCUAAAGAGCCCCUCUACUUGCUAGAAUUAGAACCCGCCAUCCACCCUAGGGUUGGGCUGAGUCUGGGGAACACUUAUGAUUUAGCCCUCGUAUUUUUAUAAAUUUAGUGCUCGGUCCAGAUAGUUAGAAAAUCAAUAAAUUCAUUUGGAAAAUACUUAUUAAUGCAAAAAUAAAUACAAGAGUGUGUUUAAUUCAUAGAAAAUGCAUAAUUAGUCCAAAUUUAUUCAUUCCAAUUCCUAUAAUUUUGUAAUAAUGUUUUUUUAUCAUAUAUUGUCUCUGUUUUAACAUGAACAUGGUAUUAAAAAUUUAUUUCUUAAUUAAUCUUGUAUCAAAUACAUAAAACCUUAGGAAAUUCGUAUCUUCUUCGUUUUAACUCCGAUUUGAUCCGUUCAAGUUGCGUUAGUCUCGUAGAAACGCGUAGAUCACUAUUAUGCAGUAUAUUCUUAUGUUUGGUGUGAUGUUAAUUUUAUCUAUACCAUGUUUGUUUGUAUUGCUACGACUAGCAGUGAGGUUACG
rnacentral:lncRNA from 1 species